UGGGGAAUAUUGGACAAUGGGCGAAAGCCUGAUCCAGCCAUGCCGCGUGUGUGAAGAAGGUCUUCGGAUUGUAAAGCACUUUAAGUUGGGAGGAAGGGCAGUAAGCGAAUACCUUGCUGUUUUGACGUUACCGACAGAAUAAGCACCGGCUAACUCUGUGCCAGCAGCCGCGGUAAUACAGAGGGUGCAAGCGUUAAUCGGAAUUACUGGGCGUAAAGCGCGCGUAGGUGGUUCGUUAAGUUGAAGGUGAAAGCCCCGGGCUCAACCUGGGAACUGCAUCCAAAACUGGCGAGCUAGAGUAGGGCAGAGGGUGGUGGAAUUUCCUGUGUAGCGGUGAAAUGCGUAGAUAUAGGAAGGAACACCAGUGGCGAAGGCGACCACCUGGGCUAAUACUGACACUGAGGUGCGAAAGCGUGGGGAGCAAACAGG
rnacentral:rRNA from 1 species